GGACUUUUGGUGGAGGAACCAGACUGGAUGUCGGAGGUGAAGCCCGUCCCACCUUGAUGGUUCUGCCCCCUUCCAAUGAGGAGCUGCAGCAGGGGAAGGCCACGCUCGUGUGCCUGGCCAACAAGGGCUUCCCCUCAGACUGGAGUCUGGCCUGGAAGGUGGACGGCAUCAGCGGCGGCAGCUGGGAGGAGAGCAGGGGCCCUGCGGUGAUGGAGCAGGACGCUCGUUACAGCUGGAGCAGCACCCUGAGGCUCUCUGCAGGCCAGUGGACGAAGGUGGGCUCUGUGACCUGUGAGGCCACCCAGGGCUCCCAGACGCUGGUCUCAGAGACACUGAGGAGGGACCAGUGUUCCCAGGACUGAGCUGUAUCACCUGGACUCUGCUGCUGGUUUCUCCCUGCUGUUGUUUCACUUCUGAAACUGCCCUCAGUUUACACGCUAAAUGCCUUCUUUCCCUCUCUAUGAUUUUAUGUUUCAACGUUUAUUUUUCUUACCUUUUGUAUUGACAGUUUUUCUUAAAUUGAGCA